rnacentral:tRNA from 1 species
GGGAAGGUGGCUCAAUGUUAGUGUGCUUGCCUUGCAUGCAUGAGGUCUUGGGUUCGAUUCCUUUUUUUUUUU